rnacentral:snoRNA from 1 species
ACCCUCUCAGAAUCACACCUGGAGAGUUUCCAGUGCUCUACCAGUCUCUACUCUGGGAGGGAGAGUCAAGCAGUUGUUUACCCAUUCCAUUCCUAGCUUGGGCAGUGGCUAGCGAGUGGAAAGCAAUCUGCUACAAGU